GUGCUUGCUUCAGCAACACAUACAUUAAAAUUGGUCCAACACAGAGAUUAGCAUGGCCCCUGGGCAAGUACGACAUGCAGAUCUGUAAAGUGUUCCAUAUCAAA
ensembl:snRNA U6 U6 spliceosomal RNA